rnacentral:rRNA from 1 species
CUACGGGGGGCAGCAGUGGGGAAUAUUGCACAAUGGAGGAAACUCUGAUGCAGCAACGCCGCGUGGAGGAUGACACUUUUCGGAGCGUAAACUCCUUUUAUAUAGGAAGAAGAUGACGGUACUAUAUGAAUAAGCGCCGGCUAACUCCGUGCCAGCAGCCGCGGUAAUACGGAGGGCGCAAGCGUUACUCGGAAUCACUGGGCGUAAAGAGCGUGUAGGCGGAUUAAAAAGUCAGAAGUGAAAUCCUAUAGCUUAACUAUAGAACUGCUUCUGAAACUCUUAAUCUAGAAUAUGGGAGAGGUAGAUGGAAUUUCUGGUGUAGGGGUAAAAUCCGUAGAGAUCAGAAGGAAUACCGAUUGCGAAGGCAAUCCACUAGAACAUUAUUGACGCUGAGACGCGAAAGCGUGGGGAGCAAACAGGAUUAGAUACCCCAGUAGUC